AUUGAACGCUGGCGGCAGGCUUAACACAUACAAGUCGAGCGGAGAUGAGGUGCUUGCACCUUAUCUUAGCGGCGGACGGGUGAGUAAUGCUUAGGAAUCUGCCUAUUAGUGGGGGACAACAUUCCGAAAGGAAUGCUAAUACCGCAUACGUCCUACGGGAGAAAGCAGGGGAUCUUCGGACCUUGUGCUAAUAGAUGAGCCUAAGUCGGAUUAGCUAGUUGGUGGGGUAAAGGCCUACCAAGGCGACGAUCUGUAGCGGGUCUGAGAGGAUGAUCCGCCACACUGGGACUGAGACACGGCCCAGACUCCUACGGGAGGCAGCAGUGGGGAAUAUUGGACAAUGGGGGAAACCCUGAUCCAGCCAUGCCGCGUGUGUGAAGAAGGCCUUAUGGUUGUAAAGCACUUUAAGCGAGGAGGAGGCUACUGAGACUAAUACUCUUGGAUAGUGGACGUUACUCGCAGAAUAAGCACCGGCUAACUCUGUGCCAGCCGCCGCAGUAA
rnacentral:rRNA from 1 species